rnacentral:tmRNA from 1 species
GGGGAUGCUAGGCAUCGAUAAUAAAAUUUUCUUCAAAGCAGGCAGAAGUGCGCGUUAGCCACCACUUUAAUCCGAGCUAACAAACAUAAUAAGUGCCAAAAACUUAUUGGGCAAAAUGACAUUCUCUUGGAGAAUGCCCGCUUUUGCCGCCGUUGCCGCUUAAAAAAGCCAGCAACCAUCCGCCCGGCUUAGCCUAAAGGCCGGAUCACGGGUGUCAUAUUUUAGGCUCGAAUAGCCGCUUGCUUUAGGCGGCUGUUUCAAAAAAUUAAAGCUGGUUGUCGCUGAUUUUGUUCGGUUUUUACGGCGACAAUAAGAAAUCAAACCGGUCUAAUCUGUAAACUUGCUUAAAGAAAUUUAUUAGACAGGGGUUCAAUUCCCCUCAUCUCCACCU